rfam:Leptospira interrogans serovar Lai str. 56601 chromosome I, complete sequence.
UCUGAAUAUAACUUUGAUGCCGUUAGGCGUUGAGCAC